GCAUACAAAAUUUUGAAAAAUCAGCCAAAAUGCUCUUAAAGUAGCAGGCAAACUGAUUUGAUAAUGGCUGGCAGUCAUUGAGCUCAACUGCUUUGGGGUGAACUAUUAAUAUCGUGUGUGUGUGUGUGUGUGUGUGGGGUAUCAAUUACUGGCAUUUUUUUGUGCUAAAUCUGGCAGGUCUUUGUCACACAAAGAGCACAAAUACGUAGAUAUAUCAAAAAGCAAAAA